AAAUAACCAGUAGGAUAUAAGAGGUCAUAGUAUUCCUAUGUUUUUGCAUCCUUGCCAUCAGACUUCAUAUUUUAUUUAUAAUUUAUUUCAAGCAUUUCAUUAACUGUCAUAAUUGUAAUUAAAACUCCCCCUACGCCCCAUAGAAACUGUCUACCUGAGACUGUCCCUUGGCCCGUAGGUCCUGACACAAGGUUAGAAUUCCCCUACUA
rnacentral:lncRNA from 1 species